AGUAAAGUGGCGCACGGGUGAGUAACGCGUGGAUAAUCUACCCUUAAGAUGGGGAUAACGGCUGGAAACGGUCGCUAAUACCGAAUACGCUCCCGAUUUUAUCGUUGGGGGGAAAGAUGGCCUCUGCUUGCAAGCUAUCGCUUAAGGAUGAGUCCGCGUCCCAUUAGCUAGUUGGCGGGGUAACGGCCCACCAAGGCAACGAUGGGUAGCCGGUCUGAGAGGAUGACCGGCCACACUGGAACUGGAACACGGUCCAGACUCCUACGGGAGGCAGCAGUGGGGAAUAUUGCGCAAUGGGCGAAAGCCUGACGCAGCGACGCCGCGUGAGGGAUGAAGGUUCUCGGAUCGUAAACCUCUGUCAGGGGGGAAGAAACCCCCUCGUGUGAAUAAUGCGAGGGCUUGACGGUACCCCCAAAGGAAGCACCGGCUAACUCCGUGCCAGCAGCCGCGGUAAUACGGAGGGUGCAAGCGUUAAUCGGAAUCACUGGGCGUAAAGCGCACGUAGGCGGCUUGGUAAGUCAGGGGUGAAAUCCCACAGCCCAACUGUGGAACUGCCUUUGAUACUGCCAGGCUUGAGUACCGGAGAGGGUGGCGGAAUUCCAGGUGUAGGAGUGAAAUCCGUAGAUAUCUGGAGGAACACCGGUGGCGAAGGCGGCCACCUGGACGGUAACUGACGCUGAGGUGCGAAAGCGUGGGUAGCAAACAGGAUUAGAUACCCUGGUAGUCCACGCUGUAAACGAUGGGUGCUGGGUGCUGGGAUGUAUGUCUCGGUGCCGUAGCUAACGCGAUAAGCACCCCGCCUGGGGAGUACGGUCGCAAGGCUGAAACUCAAAGAAAUUGACGGGGGCCCGCACAAGCGGUGGAGUAUGUGGUUUAAUUCGAUGCAACGCGAAGAACCUUACCCAGGCUUGACAUCUAGGGAACCCUUCGGAAAUGAAGGGGUGCCCUUCGGGGAGCCCUAAGACAGGUGCUGCAUGGCUGUCGUCAGCUCGUG
rnacentral:rRNA from 1 species